rnacentral:misc_RNA from 1 species
CGACCAUUAAGCCUCGUUGCUUAGCGUUGGGAACCUACUGGCCUGGCCUGUAGCUCCUCAAAGUUAGUGGCGGAGCUAGUGCAUACUCUAGGCGUAGUAAUAUAUCAUCUCGCCUUUGUAGUUGCCCUGGCGCUUGCCGUAAAACACCCAAUUUUAAUAG